rnacentral:sRNA from 1 species
UGAAAGGUAUCACAACAUGAUCCAAGA